AAUUCUAUACAGUCAGAGUUUGAGUCACCUAAGAUGACGCAAUCUCCGCACGAAGCGGGGCGGGAUUCCGCGAGGACCUCAUUCGAAGGCGAUCACCUGGGAAGCGGAAGUCGUCGAUAAAGAAACGGCGGUCGACGGCGACAGAGGUUCUGAUGAGAAUAAGGACCAGAGAAGGAAUGUGACCUCCCCAAAGUCACAGAGUAACUGGUAGAGCUGGCCAAGAACCUAAACCUGUAACUAAAGAGACCAGCGAUUUUUCUUUUAUACUUUUGGGAAGCAGACCCUAAGAUCUUUGCAAAUUACCUUGUGGGGAAAAAAUGCCUAAAGU